rnacentral:tRNA from 1 species
AUAUUGGUGGUUCGGUGGUGGAAUUCUUGCCUUCCAUGCUGGUGUCCUGGGUUCAAAUCCUGACCAAUGCA